UAGAUAAGACAGGCCUCAAGUUUACAAGUGAAUGUGAUUCAAGGCAUGGAAAUAGUAUUUGAAUAGAUGCCCUGUAUUUAAACUCUCCUGCAGCCUGCGCCGUCGUCGCCUCCCACCGCGCAUCUCUUGAAAAAGACGAGAUGAACUAGUCAGACCAGUCCCAGACCAGAAAUGGCAGCCGACCGGACCGGCAGGAGAUUUGAGAAAAAAGACGACGUUCAUUCAUCGGAUUUGUCUCCGGAUUAUGUUUGUAACAUCCCGAAGAGACAUGUGCGGGUCACCGUGAAGUACAACAGGAAAGAGCUGCAGAAACGGCUGGACGUGGAGAAGUGGAUCGAAGACAGCCUGGACCAGCUGUACCUGGGUCAGGAAGGUGACAUGCCAGAUGAGGUGAACAUUGAUGACUUGAUUGACCUGCCUAAUGACGAGGAGCGAGUCAAAAGCUUACAGAAGCUGCUUCAAAAUUGCAAGAACAACACACUGACCUUCAUCAGAGAGCUGGUGGGAAAGCUGGAAGGAGUUCACAAGGAGAAAGAGCUACAGACUGAAGGCGUCGAGCAUCCGGUCGUCUGCCACAGCCACUACCGCCAUGAGCCCUACCAGUUCAACCACCCACACCAACACUUGCAACACACCAGAGGCCAAAACCAGACCCUGUGAAAACCCCUCCAACCAAGGCACACACACACACACACACACACACACACACACACACACACACACACACACACACACACACACACACACACACACACACACACACUUCUGACACUAACUGAUGAAGUCGGAUAGAAUACACAGUUUCUAAUUUUAAAAUAACAUCCUGAUAUGCAUCCAACAUCACAGACAGAUCACCCAGGGGUGGAUGUUAAGACUUCACUAUCUGAGUCACAGUUGCAGUACUUUCCACCUUCCACCAAACACGUGUCCGAAACACAUUUUAGCCGCACCACUUUUAAAAUUUUUUCUAAAACUGCUAGAUUAGAUGCUCUUAUUUAACAUCUGUUAAAUUAUGAUGUUAUUUAUUGUCAUGGUUACAGGAAAUUCAGGUGGAUUCAGCAUAGCAGCAUGAUGUAACACUGGAAAUAAUCCUGUUGCAUUUCUUACACACAGUAGCUUCUUUUUAAUAUCUCACUCUCAUUCAACACCUCCUUUUGUUUUUCGAGAUGUAUUGUUAAUACAUUUUCUACUUUCCUGCAAAGAGACACCAGCUCUCUGCAGGAAUUGCUAAUAAAAUAAUUUCUUUCAAUGUG